GGGCACACACGUCAGCCAGGGAGAGCUAGAGCACGUGGACCCUGGAUCCAGUCAUCAGACCGCAUGGAGCCAGCAGCCAAUAUCCUGGAGCCGGGGACUGGAUCUCGGGGACGCCACCUCUUCCAGGAUGGCUCGACUGUUUGCUUCACCAACACGGCCACACCUGCAGCUUGGUUCUAAUGCCCACCCUGACCAAGGCCAUUGUGUGUAAUAUGGAAUCUAUAAUUAAAAGUCUGGAUAUACAAAGGGAUGUAGUAAGGGGCAAUAAAGGGGAAGGAAAGAAAGCACACUCACUUUGAAGGCUGAGGAAAUCACCAGCCUGCUCAUUCCCUAUUUUUUCUCCCUUAUUCAUGUCUCUUUUUGUCUUGAAAAGGAAUGUCAUUAAUAAACAGGAUUCUGCUCUC